rnacentral:lncRNA from 1 species
CCGCGGUCCAUGGACCGGAACCUCGGGCCGACGGACGGGAACCCGGGCCGCGAUCGCCGCCUCCCCGCCUCAGGCUCCUCCUCCUCGCUCUCCGCCGCCUCCGCCGGACUCCCGCAGGCCCUGCACCGCCGCCGCCAGGCUAGCGGAGCUGCCCCGGGAAGCUGGGUGACGGGUUCGCGGCUGCCGCCGGACUGCGGCCUACUCCGCCGCCUCUCAGUGCUAUUGUCCCUGGGCCUGGCCUUGAGCGGGUCCACUGGGGAAGGCCGUGUGCGCCGGCUCCGCGGAAGAUGCCGGACCAAGCCCUACAGCAGAUGCUGGACAGUUGCUGGGUUUGUUUUGCUACUGAUGAAGAUGAUAGAACAGCUGAAUGGGUGAGACCAUGCAGGUGCAGAGGAUCUACAAAAUGGGUUCACCAGGCCUGUCUACAACGCUGGGUGGAUGAAAAGCAAAGAGGAAACAGUACAGCCAGAGUGGCAUGUCCUCAGUGCAAUGCUGAAUACCUAAUAGUUUUUCCAAAAUUGGGUCCAGUGGUUUACGUCUUGGAUCUUGCAGAUAGACUGAUCUCAAAAGCCUGUCCAUUUGCUGCAGCAGGAAUAAUGGUCGGCUCUAUCUAUUGGACAGCUGUGACUUAUGGAGCAGUGACAGUGAUGCAGGUUGUAGGUCAUAAAGAAGGUCUGGAUGUUAUGGAGAGAGCUGAUCCUUUAUUCCUUUUAAUUGGACUUCCUACUAUUCCUGUCAUGCUGAUAUUAGGCAAGAUGAUUCGCUGGGAGGACUAUGUGCUUAGACUGUGGCGCAAAUACUCGAAUAAACUACAAAUUUUAAAUAGUAUAUUUCCAGGGAUAGGUUGUCCUGUUCCUCGAAUUCCAGCUGAGGCCAAUCCUUUAGCAGAUCAUGUCUCUGCUACUCGAAUCUUGUGUGGAGCCCUUGUCUUUCCUACUAUUGCUACAAUAGUUGGUAAAUUGAUGUUCAGUAGUGUUAACUCUAAUUUACAAAGGACAAUCUUGGGUGGAAUUGCGUUUGUUGCCAUAAAAGGAGCAUUUAAAGUUUACUUCAAACAGCAGCAAUAUUUACGACAGGCACACCGCAAAAUUCUGAAUUAUCCAGAACAAGAAGAAGCAUAAAACUGACUUCUGGUUGUUCUGCAGUUCUCUCAUCCUUAUGAAUCUGUUGUGUUGUUUUGAUUCCAUCAUUAAUGCACUUGUGGAGACUUGUGAUAAGCUGCUGCUCCUAUAUUUUUUAAGAAAUAUAAUAAAGCACUUAGGGCAGGGGAAAUCAUCUCGGUAAUCAUGGAACCUAAGGAUGUGAUUUGUUUUCAUUGUUUGUAUGUACUACUUUUAUGGCAGUCAUAUGAACCAUUAUCUUAGCAUGGUAAACCUGGGUUUUGUUCAUAUUUUCUCCAGACAGAAAUGCAAAGAUCAAACUGUGCAAAUAUUAAAAAAAUGCACAUGCUGUUUUAUUCAAAUGCCUCUUUUGUACAUGUUCAUGUUUAGUGUUUUCUCAGAAUCAGCAACUCAAGGUACUAUGAGGAUUUUUCUCACUGACAUAAUUUGAUUACAUACUAAAUAAGAGGAUAUGUUAAUAUGAGGAAAUGUAAAUUAAAUUAGUUAUAAAUAAAUAACCAAAAAUGUAUGUAAACAUUCAAAUGAUUAUCUGAACAAAUGAGAUUUUGUGGUGUUUUCUUUAACCCAUGUGAUGUCCUCCAAAAUGUGUAGGGUAAAAAUUCACAGGGCUUCCAGAUCACUUUUUCAAUAUUAAAUUUUAUUUACAUAAUGUUGACAUCUCAUACUUCAUGAAGUAAUUUUGACUCAUGCAGUCGUGUGUGUGUGUGUGUGUGUGUGUGUGUGUGUGUGUGUAUUUGUGUGUUUCAGUGUUUCAUCAGGUCCUUCCAUCUCUGGGAGUUUUUUCAACCCAUAUUUCUAGAAAUUACAGCUGCCAGUUUAUAGUAGUUUGAGCAGAGGAUGAUUUGCAAAAAUAAAAAUAAAGUUAUUUU